GAAACUUCCUGUCCUAAGAUGAAAUCACAGGCCGCCAUGGAAUAGUCUCACCUACAUGUCUGGCUUUAAUGUUUAGGCUAGGAUUACCCCCUCCCAACUGGUAAGAAGUAAAUGCAUUUUCCGGUAGGCAUUUCACAGACUGCGUGACGCAGUGGUUGGUCUUAGCUGGGAACCGUGUACAACAUAAAAAGUCCACGUGGGCUGCUCCUCUGCUUUACAUUCCAGGAAGCGCUCUGACUGUAUGGGAGGCGCCUUAUUUCCAUAUGAAGUGUGAUUUGGCCGCUUUAUGACAGUUACUUGAGAAGAGUCCCAACUGUAUUAAUUGACUGGUAAUAUAGAGGUUAAAUUAUCUUUAACACUUACAUGUUUAGAAAUCUUUGCUUUGCCUGCCUGCUUACUUGGAAUGUAAGCAUGAGGGGAACGCGCUGUUGACGUCACUGAAGCCACAGCCAGGUAUCUAAGGCCUUAACGUUCUUAUGUGAUGCUAAGUGCACCGCCUUCCUAUGUUCUUCCUGUAACUAAUGUACGUAAUUUUGCCCAUUCUUGUAUUUACAAGAGACAGAUUUAAGAGUUAUAUUCUGAGUGUGUCGUAUGUCACCUUAAAUGACAUUUGGAAAAAAGUAUGUAUCAAAGUCAGAAAUUCUCAUCAGGGAAAAGUAAUAUUCUUAAUUUUUCUUUCUAUUAUCUUAGCUCAGAAGUUCCCCUAAAACGGAUGUUGUCUGCCAUGGGAUUUAGUUCUGGAUUGUAAUCAUCCGAAAUAUACCACUUUGAAAACAAGUUUUACCCAUAAGGUAAAAAAUACAGUUCCUUACAGGGUUUAUCCCUGAAUUGUAAUCUUCUGCCACUUUAAAAACAUUCAAGCACUAGUUUUCCCAGAGCUUUGCACAUUGCUUUCGGUGAUUCUGGUA
rnacentral:lncRNA from 1 species